CUGAGUUUUAAUCGAAAUACAAUAUUUUCUAUUUUCCCCUAUGUCCUCUAAUCCUCAUUACUUUGUUUAUAGAGAUGGUGAUUGAAUUGUUCACUUCCAUCUGAGUUUUGUUAUAGUGUAGACAUGUGUGCUUAGUCUUAUGACUUUGGAUAUUCCCUAACUUUUGCAUGAACCGCUUCUAAGAAUUUCAAUUUACCGGGAGAUUUACCCUUUUUUGCUUAAGCGGCCUUUCAGGUUUUCAACUUAUCGGGCUUAACUUUUUUUGUUUAUCCCUAAUUUUUACCUGAGUUGCCCUAGCGAAUUUUCAACUCAUCAGGGUGCUCAUUUUUAGCCUUAGUCGCCCUUUCAGGUUUUAAACUUAGUGAAUUUUUAUUAUCCAUCUCUUUUUCUUAGGCAUAAUACUUUCUGAAUGCAUCAAAGUUGACGGGAUGUGUCAACUCUUCUCCAUCCAUGUUCGUGAGAACUAAAAUUUAAAGGGAGACAGAUGAUAAAGCCACAACGAUAAGCCUGGAAAACAAAAGGAAAAUGAAGGAUGGAGCCUCGCCGGAUCCUAAAACUCCGCCGAGAACUCCGGAAAAGCCAACCUCAGGGUGAAUGCAAAAAGAUCGUGACUACCAAGUCAAACCUCAUUUUUCUUCCUUUUUAAUAUAAUUAUUGUAUGGAAUGUAAUGGCAUGACUAUGCUAGUUGUAGCUUGUGUGUUGGAUGUUCAAAAUAAUGUAAUACAAGCAACUUCUUUUUUAAUUU